GGAGAGAGCAGUGCAGCUGAGAGGGGGCCUGAGACUGUGGAGCCUACCUGAAGGCAGGGCUUCCAUGCUUGCAGCUCUUCUCCUGGAGGAGGAGCUCCUAGUGAAGUCCUGGGAAAUAUAAAUGUGUGCAAGUGACUGUGAAGGUGCCCAAGUAUGAGAAUUCUGAGAGAACAACAGCAGGAACUGAGAAUUAGCAUGUGGUAUCUGAGACUAUUACAGAAGAAAGAAAACAGGAAAGAAUAUAAGCCAUCUCUGUUGCUUAAAGUGGGGUAGCAGCUGAGUCAAAGCUGGGAUUAUCAGGGGGUGCCUUGGACCUCUGUGGAAACACUUAUCAGUGAGACAAAGACAAGUUUUCAACCGAAGAGUUGUACCUUUUUCAAGAAGUAGAAAAGGCCUUACAGGUCAGCAUCUACAGCCCCUGAAUAUGGAAACAACUGCUCAGUCAUCCACUUACCCUCUCACUGGCAAGUUUUGCAUAUAUGGACUGUCAGAGCAAGAAUCCCAUUGACCUUGUUCAUCUCUCUAUGCCACUGACAUAAGAUACCCUGGAGAAGGGAUAGGCUACCCACUCCAGUAUUCUUGGACUUCCCUGGAAUUCAGCUGGUAAAGAAUCCACCUGCAAUGAGAGAGACCUUCUUUCGAUCCCUGGGUUGGGAAGAUCACCUGGAGAAGGGAAAGGCAACCCACUCCAGUAUUCUGGCCUGGAGAAUUCCAUGAACUGUAUAGUCAGUCCAUGGGGGUCCCAAAGAGUGGACAUGACUAAGUGACUUUCACAUCAUACGUUUUAUUAUCUUGGCCUUUAGUUAAAUAGUGUCUUCUCAAAUGCCUAAAUAUUUUUCACUGGGUAUCAUACACUGUAUAUUAAAA
ensembl:lncRNA